rnacentral:misc_RNA from 1 species
AGUCGCAUGGACGUGUGCGUGUGCGUGCCCCUCUGCCGUUUUCCCGUUGUGUCUCCGUGCCGCUGCCCUGCUCCUCGUCUUCCCCGCCCCCUCCCUGCGCGCGUGUGUGUGUGCGAGGGCGGCUGAUCGAGGGGACGACGAGGUGGAGAGCAGCCGCGGCACCGCAGCGCUGGGGAUACAUGGGGAGUGUGCAGGAGCAGCGGAGGAGAGGCACGCACACGCACUCUGGCAAGGGAGCGAUGACGCGGAGGCCGCAGGGGAAUACGCAGCGGAGCGAGUGGGUACGGAGGCGGAGCGGAGGCGAGGCAGUGUUGCUUCUCUGUUCGCCCCGCUUGCGUUCGACUCGAGUGUGUCUGCGUGUGCGUCCCCUGCGGCCCUCGGGCCCCUCGCCUCUCUUGCGCGCUUCGCUUCGUUUGUUUCGUUGCUGUGGCUGUCUAACUACACUUUCGAGUCGGCCAGAGUCCCGUGUGGAGAUUAUUCACACCAUAUUACGGCAUGCGGCGGCUUGAGGCGACCGAGGGAGGGGCAUGGCGUGCAGGCGGAGCACAAGGUGUCAGAGGGCCCUGGCCUGCGGCUGGCCCACCUCCUCUCUGUGCUCAUGCGGCACGCGCCUACACCAGCCCCUGCGGCCAGCACGGCUGACGUCGCCGCCUCCGCCCUCGAGGAGGAAGCCUGGCCGCGGCCUGCCUGGACCGAUGCAUGCCGCCCACCCGGGUCUGCGUCUGGCGCCGCUAGCGCCGCAGGUGCCCGAGGAAUGGACGAGCAAAGACAAGGCGGGCCGCUAGCGGCAUGGCUCGAUACCCCAGCAGACGACUUGUCUUCGCCGGCGCGGAUGUAGCCGUGGCGCAACAGAGGGGCGUGUGAGCUGUGCGCGAAUGCGUACAUGUGCCGACUUGCCCGUCGCGGAGUAAGAUUUUUAUAUUUAAAUACGCUGUUUUUCCUGGCAAACACGCGUAGCAGAAACUAGUAAGUGCAGCGGCAUGGCGACGAGUAUACAUAUACACUAUACACAUAUGUCUAUCUGUAUCUAGAGCGCUGCACCGUCAAUCCGUCAAAACGCCACGCACUUUGUUUUCCCCGCCGACCACCGCCCCCUGUGCUCGCCCGAGCGGGCGGAGCGCGUGCGCGUGCGUCCCUCUCUCCUCGCGCUUCUCCGUUGCUUGCUUUUUGCUUUCUGUCAUUAUUGUCUCCGUUCCUCGACUG